UGGUGUAUAGAAACCUUUAAUUUGGAGAGUAUCUGGUUAAUGUCUCCUGCAUGUCGAGUUUAGAGAUGAGAUUUGCUACAUGAAAAGAAUGACUAAAUCUCAAGUGAAAAUGUUCAUGUAUUUAUGAAAAUAGCAUCAGUCAAUUUAUGUAGUAUUAAAAUUUUUCAAAUGUUAAGCGGAAUAAAAAUCUAGAUAUGAUCUUGUCUACUUAUUAUUUUUUGGUAAACUUGAAUGAUACUUGCAUGAGUUUCAAAUGGCUCCUUGGUUUCAGUAAUUCCAUCCAUCUCAUUUUUAAAUUGGAAUUUUGCAGGUAUGCCCCUGUAUCCCCUGCCGAAAAAGAUGAUGACGUUAUUCUCUGUUGGGAAGACACUGUAAUAUUUGUGUCAGUUGUUACCAGUAUUUUAUUCUCGCCACGAUUUACUCCAAAGGACCUCCGCAUCGAGUCUCUUUCUUCAAAAACACAUUUCUGGUGAUUGUUGUGGUUUCAAUGACAUCAUUCACCGCUUUCUUCACUGUUGCUCCAUCUAAAUUCAUUGCCAAUCACUUUGAGUUGAUGCCUUGGUCUCCGUCUGAUCCGCAAGCCAAGAAACUUUUCCGGCUCUCGCUGCUUCUUUUCCCAAUUUGCAAUUUCCUGUUGUCUUACUUAAUUGAGAAUGUAAUCGCUCAUACACCAAUUGUGAAAAAAGUGUUCAAAUUGAUAACAUGCAGUCAAGGUUACAUCAAAAAUCCCUACAAGCAAUUUGAGAACUCCCACGGUGAACUAGAUCAGUAUUGUGAUCUCUGGUGCCUUCAAGUACAUUUUCCUGGGUAAUUUGUUAAUUUUAAGGUUGAGGUAGGUAAGUUAAGUUUUUCUUUCGACCUCCUAACAUAAUCGUUCAAUUAUGAUUGAUUCGUAAAAUGAAUGUCAGAGAUGGCUGCACAGAAAGUCAUUAAAGGUUUGGGACUAAAGGUUUUGACGGAUAAUUUGUGAUAUACUCGUAUGUAUAUGUAUUGUGAUCAGAUAUUUGAUUUAUUUUUUAUAAAUUGUUGCUUUCUAGACUGUUGAUAAGCUGCCAUAUUUCAUUGACUGAAUAGGUCUCAUAUUGAAUCUUAUUAUGCGUCUAUUUUUUGAAACUAUGUAUGAAUAUAUACAGCAAGAAAAUUUUCAUUUUUAGUAAACCAUGAGUCUGAUUCGGUACCUGAUUUUUCUGGCCCAUAAUUAUUCCAUUGUGAGCAAUCUAAGCUAUGCUUCAGGGAAGAGUGAAGAACAGAGAUCCAGUAUAUAGUACUCAUCUGGUAUUUGAAAUUCUCUAAUCUUUUUGGGUGAUGACAGGGUUGCCACGGUCAGGGAAUUUAGGGAAAACCUGGAAAAGUCAGGGGAAAAAAGUGCUCUGGAAAACCUGGAAAAGUCAGGGAAUUUGACCAAAAACAGCUAAAAGUCAGGGAAAAAUUGACAAUUUUCACGAGUUGCAGAGACACAAACACCAGGGAAGACCUUUUUUUUAGAGUGUUUCUUCAAAAGAACAAUCGUUCAAAAGUUUUCAUUUCUAAAACAAUUAUUGGGUUGCUCAAGAAAGUCAAAAGCAUCAAAAUUAAAAGAAAAAGUUAACAACCCUUUUUGUAUUUCCAAAUGUUCUACGAUUAAUUUCUGACUCCUUAGCUUAAGCGCGUUUCAAAUGAGACGCUAUAUUAGUGCGAUGGUAGCUAGCAAGGUGUAAAUUUGGCUGUGCGAUCAUGGGGCGCGUUCUCAAAGGUCAGGGAAUUUCUUCAUUUUUGGUCAGGGAAAAUCAUUUCCAAAUUUUUGUGGCAACCCUGUGAUGAGUCCAAUCUGAUCACUUCUGCUGAGAGAAAAAUUCAAAGAAAUUGAAUAUUGACAGUGAAAUUGCAAAAGUGUGUAAGUCGGUUGAAUUAUUCAAAAUCUCUAUUUCUAUUUUAUUUUUUUAAGGAGACCAAACUAACAUCAUAAAUUGCAAUUUUCACAGAAUUUUUUUCAUGGAGAAAAGUCCCCAAAGAUUUCAAGAAAUGAUGUUCAGUAGUUUUCCAUAAAAAAAAAAAUAAAUAAAAAAAAAUAAAAUAAAGUAUGACAGGAAACGUGCAACGUCGCAAACUGAGAUACGCAUUUCUGCAGUUCCAUUGUUGAUAUUUAGACUGCUAUGAAAAUUUUUCAGACAUUAUUUUGGAUGUAGGUACCAGUUUAGUUUUUCUUUAAGUAGAAAGGAUUCACUACAUAAUUACUUAGCAUCGAAAUUCUUGUGCAAGUUCUUAAAAUUAGUAAAGUGGAAUCUAAAACCGCUGACUGAAAUAUUUAUGGCACCCCAAACAAUUUUAAGUGUCAUUAAUGUCCAAUUAUUUCUCAGUGACUUGUGUUUAGGUAUAUUUUAAUGCUUUCUAAUUGAAAUUUAUUACAUAAUAGGCUGUCGAUAUUUUGGAAAAUUUUAUUAAUUUGUAGCCAAUUAUUUUCCUUCACUCAGUAUUAAUGAUGGAUACCUACAUUGAAAAUUCGAAGUUAUUUUUAGUCUUAAGAGUAUGUAUUCAAACUUAAAAAACCAUUCUUGAAUUGAUACAUCACAGGAUUAUAAAAAGCUGAAAUUUUACAUUAGUUUUUGGCGAAACGUGAAAUUAAUUUUACUGUAGUUGAGACUCUUAAAUGUGCAUUAAAAUUUUUUUGUUGAUAAAUGCGGCUGUGUUCAAUUAAUGUGUAGUGCCGCGUAAGCAUUUUAAAAGCUUACUCUAACAUUAGAAUGUAUGCAUUUUCCAUCAGCUAUGGUGGAGUGCUUAUCAACGUAUUUUUAUCUAAGUUACUCAAGUUCUGAGUACCUCUGAGGUUCUCAUUUAAAUUUUCUUCUCUUCUUCUUCUUCUUUUUUUUUCUCUCCUAUGAAGCUUUUUAUCUGAGCCGAAUCCAUGGGAAACCCUUUCAUUCCUAGGCUAGAUUCUGAAGGUGCAUGCCUCGCAAUGGUAAUUGGUUGCUAUGCAGACAAAUUGGAGUGCCCUUUGUCAGGAAGUGUCUAAACGUUUAGUUCAGAUUUUCCUUCGCAGAUAGACCUACAAAUAGAAAUACCUUUGAGUUGAGAUCGUGAGUAAUGACAGAAUUUUUACCGAAAGGAUAUUGUAUCACUGAACAUUGAUUCUGCGUUCAAGGGUAAUGAAAGGGGGCUUUCAUAAUUUCUCUCUUCUUAAAAACAAUUACUCAGAGAUUUUCUAUCUUUAAAAAAAUUGCCACUAAAAAGGGACUCAUUAUUGAAGAAACAAGCCAUGAAGGAUCUUUUGAAAUUCAAUUCAUUCUUGUGGCUGAUCAAAAAAUCCAUGAUGUUAUUACAUACUGGCUGCGUGAAUUAUGGUGGCGAAAGAUUUCUCAAUGAGCGCUCUUGCAUGUUCAUGACUGUUUUCAGACACAGACAUAUUACUUGACCAGAGUAGAAGCUUCCACUAUUCUGUGACUGAUGUUAUUUUUUUUAAAAUUAUUAACUAGGUACUCAACGGAUUAAGUCACAUUGUUAUCACUUUAGUUUUAGUUUACGUGCCAUAGAAUGUCUUAAAACGGGUUAGGCUAUGAUAUUGGUAUUAUAAAAACACAAGGUUUACCUAUUUUGAUACUUCUAUUUCCAACACCCGUCAUUCAGUUUUAAGUAUAGGACCCCACAAACACAUCAAAAUUAUAUCUGAAAUCAGUGAGACUUUUAAUUUUUAAAACAUUAUCUUCGUCAAUUACGAGGGUCAUCCAAAAAGUAAGGUUCCCUACCUUGUAUCUUCCGAACGAAAAUAGAUAAAUCAAAUCGGUAAAAACGUACAUAUUAGGCAUACUCUAAGCUUUAAAACAAGCUCAAGUUUUUGAAAAUCGGUUGAGGACUUCGCGAGAAAACUCAAUUUUACUGAGACGACCUCCUGUCGUCGCGUGCCCACCUCCGAGGUCAGGAUGCGCGGAGAGUCGCUUACUUCGGACUCAGCUUAUCGCCUCUAAACAUCAAAUCAAAAAGGAAUUUAAAAAAAUGUAUUCAAUAGGCCUUACCUUACUUUUUGAGAUAGUCUCCGCAUCUUUUUUGACAUUUCUGGUAGCAUAACAGCAGCUUUUUCAUGCCCUCCGCGUAGAGGGUCUCGUCUUGGCUCCUAAACCAUCAUUGCCAGCGAUCUGCACUUCCAAAUCAGUUGCUUUCCGUGGUAAAAUUUUUCCCCAAUCCUCCGUACUCUCUUAAUUUAGCCUCAGGUGACUUUCGUCUAUUCCUGAGAUGAAAAACUCCCACUGUGGAAAGCGAUUUCCAACCGAAUUAGAGGUGCAGAGCGCUAACAAUGACUGGUCUUGGAGCCAAGACGAGACCCUCUACGCGGAGGGCAUGAAAAAGCUGCUGUUAUGAUACCAGAAAUGUCAAAAAAGAUGCGGAGACUAUCUCAAAAAGUAAGGUAAGGCCUACUUAAUACAUUUUUUUAAAUUCCUUUUGAUUUGAUGUUUAGAGGCGAUAAGCUGAGUCUGAAGUAAGCGACUCUCCGCGCAUCCUGACCUCGGAGGUGGGCACGCGACGACAGGAGGUCGUCUCAGUAAAAUUGAGUUUUCUCGCGAAGUUCUCAACCGAUUUUCAAAAACUUGAGCUUGUUUUAAAGCUUAGAGUAUGCCUAAUAUGUACGUUUUUACCGAUUUGAUUUAUAUAUUUCGUUCGGAAGAUGCAAGGUAGGGAACCUUACUUUUUGGAUGACCCUCGUAUUUUUUUUGUUUUUAAAUCAUAAAGAAAGGCUAUAAACUGCAGGUUUACUCUCUACAACUUUUUGCCUCAAAUGUUACUGGCAGACCGUACUUUGCGCCUGUAAUUCAUUUUUUAUUGACUAGUAUUCUGCUUCUUUCAGUCAUUCUUUUGUUAAGUUUGUUACUUUAUUACCUCUAUACAUACCGUUUACUUUCAGUAGUUAAACACGAAUUAUAUCAAUAGUCAAAUAAGGAUGAGCUCGGAAUUCUCUGAAAAUUGUGGAACAAAGCAAAAAACUUCCAUUCAUCUGGAAUGAAUCAAAUCGUAACCAAUCAUCCAAAUUAAUUAUUAUUAAUGAUUUUUCGAUGGAGCAUGUAAUUUUUUUUCAUCCAUCAAUUUGUGUAAUUUGAAUUCUAAGAAUGUAAGAAAUCACUACUUUAGGAUUGUAUGGUACAAUUUUGUCCUGUUUUUAAUUGUCAGUUGUUUGUAGAUUUGAUAAUCAUCAGUUAAAAUGCUUUGUUUUUUUCAACUUUCUUUUAUACUACUCCGUCCAAUUACAAGUAACACUCUGUCCAUACUCACAUUCACUCUAUGAGCGAUUAGAGAUACCAUUGCUUCCAUUCCUAGUCGGCUAGUUGAAUUAGCGUUUUUAUUCUAAAAUUGAUUGAUCUUUUGAAAGAAGCUCUUCUGUGAGCAAACUUUUGGGGAAGAUAAAAUAUAAAAUUUGUCAAGUUCAGCAUCACUACCUCUAAUUUUAGACCCUUAGAACACAAAAUCAAGAUUCCUGCAGGGGUGAUAUUGCGUAGAGAUCACAACCCUGGUAAUU
rnacentral:lncRNA from 1 species